rnacentral:lncRNA from 1 species
AAAUAACUAAACCAAUAGCGUAUAAACCCCUCCCCUGGAAGAUCCCCAAAUUUAUUUCAUAUAGAGAGAGAGAGUUAGUGUUAUAUGGAUAUUACAAAGCCGAAAUAAAAUAGGUAACAACAUAAUACAAUAAAAAUAAACUAUUAAACAAAGAUAGCUUCAUCCGAAAUCCUAUCCCUAGGCGACUCUUCAAUGUCUUGAACUUUAAGUUCAAACCUGCUAAACCAAAAUAAUUAAGACAAGAUUGUAACUAUAUAGAUAGAAACACAGAAUUAUUCAUGACCAACAUACGAGUCUCGGCAUAUAAGACCACACCUUGAGAGAACGGAUAAGAAUACUAACUCGGAUGCUUCCUAUAUCACCAUAAACUCACAUAAAUAUGAAUGCAAGACUGAUAUAAAUGCUAAAUAAGAACACUAAUCAAUUUUAGGAGAAAAGAUUAUCAGCAAUGAUGGAGACAACUUAAUAACACUUUCGACCUGAACACAACAAAAUAACAAAGAAAGCACUUGAAUGUUAAAUGAAAUCUUAUUUCUUUUAAGAGUAGAGAGAAAUAUAUUAUUUUUUAGUAUUCAAUUAUGAGCAAUGUGAGGUGUGUUCUGCGUGAAGAAAGUGAGUGAGUGCUAUGAGUGGGUAAAUAUAUGAAAUAUAACAAGAGGGCCUUGCUUAUAUACUAUAUGAGAAGGCACACCACUAAUAGGAAAGAAAUAAUUAAGGGGUAAAUUGUAAUAUAUAUUUUCAUUAGAUAAAGCAGUAUCAAUCAAUAAAAUGCUUUAACAUAAAUCAAUCACAAUUUUACCAAAAAUAAAGCAUGUAAGAAUCUUCUUUAAUUUAUUUAUUAUAAGAAAAUGAAGUUGCCAACUUAAUCAAAGCAAAGGAACAGUCAAAGUUAGAGAAGGCGAGGAGAGAAUAGACAUACUAAAGGAAAACAAUACUUUUGCAUAAACCCAAUGUCAAGAUGUACGAUUUCACAGACUUAUUUCUACCAAUUAACCUGUUAACAUUUAGCAAAUUUAAUUGAGCCAGUAAAAUAAAUUAAUGAGCAGCCCAUCAAAUCAACAUAGAGUCAAUUAGCAUAAGAUGUAAAACUCACACCAAAACUUGAGCACACACAAAAAUUUAAGCAUACUUAAUUAGAUUAGCCCACUAAUCAGAUUCAGAAUCACUAAAAGAUGAGAAAAACAAAGCACAAAUCUCUAAUUUUACGCAAAAAAAUUUAAUACAUUUUGAUCAUAUAUCACAUUAAUAUGAAUAAAACUUCAGUAGUAUAGCAAACUCGAAGCAUACUGUAAUCCACUCCAAAUGAUUAAAACAAAUUCAAAGGAUUAUAAAUAGAACACUUUGAAACUGGGAUGAGAGGAUUAUUGAUUUAAACAUGGGAGCAGCAAGCACUGAAAUCAGUCACUCUAGGAAAAUAAGGUUUUAAUUAGAAGAGAAGAAACCUCGGUGAUCCGCUAAAGAUCCAUCUUCAGCAUGGCAAAGUUUUUAAGCUUUUUCACCAACCAAACUUCGUCCGAAAUAUACUAGUAACCUCCAUCAAAGUUGCUUGCCGUAGUUGCUGCUAAUAGGUUUUUCCAGAAUGCCGUUGGUAUCAUCCAUCCUCGACGGAGAGAGAAGGCGAGGGAGAGGGCGGCACUGCUUGGUCACUCACCGAAGCUGCUGCCGCUAUGUCGUCGAACUGUUGUCGCCAGCUGGAGCUGCUGCCAGUGAUGGAGGAUCUCUGUCCGGCUGCUAUUGCUCUCCUCGCAGCUGCUGUCCACCAGCAAAGGGAGUAGAGGCGGCGUUCUCGCGCUGCUGCUCCUCCGCCGGAGAAGAAGAGAGAAACAGAGAGGGACCGAAGGAGAAGAGAAGAGAGGGGAUGAAGAGAGGGACGAAGGGAGGCGGCCAUCUCUGCAUUCGCAGCGUUUCGCCGGAGCAUAGAGGGGGGAGGGGAGGCGACUUUCCUAAGAG